CAGCACGCCUACCCGGCGGUGCUAGUCUUCCCUCGGGGAGGCGACACGCUAAACUUGCGGGAAGUCCCCUGUCUUUACAGGGUGCAUCCGCAGCCACCCACUGCGAGCAGUGGGCGGUUCAGAGACUCAAUGAGCGUGGAUUUCUUCGGAAGUUUGAGAUAGAGCCCGUCCUCGCUGGUAAUAGCGGGGGUUCAACGGAACCUGCGGAAGGAUCAUUAUAGAGUAAAACGGUCUUCGGGCCACCUAUUCUAACCCUUUGUUUACCACACUUAGUUGCCUUGGCGCCUAGCGCCAGUGGAUCAAAACCCUUGAAUCAUUGCUGUCUGAGUACUAUAUAAUAGUUAAAACUUUCAACAACGGAUCUCUUGGUUCUGGCAUCGAUGAAGAACGCAGCGAAAUGCGAUAAGUAAUGUGAAUUGCAGAAUUCAGUGAAUCAUCGAAUCUUUGAACGCACAUUGCGCCCUCUGGUAUUCCGGGGGGCAUGCCUGUUCGAGCGUCAUUACAACCCUCAAGCUCAGCUUGGUAUUGGGCUCGCCCUGUAGGGCUUGCCUAAAAAUCAGUGGCGGCCACCGUCCGACCUUCAGCGCAGUAAUACUCGUAGCUGAAAGGGAAGGCUGGCGACCCCGUCAUUACAACCCCCAAUUUUACAA
rnacentral:misc_RNA from 1 species